rnacentral:rRNA from 1 species
ACGAACGCUGGCGGCGCGCCUAACACAUGCAAGUCGAACGGAGUCAAGAGGAGCUUGCUUUUCUUGACUUAGUGGCGAACGGGUGAGUAACGCGUGAGUAACCUGCCCUGGAGUGGGGGACAACAGUUGGAAACGACUGCUAAUACCGCAUAAGCCCACGGAUCUGCAUGGAUCUGCGGGAAAAGGAUUUAUUCGCUCUAGGAUGGACUCGCGUCCAAUUAGCUAGUUGGUGAGGUAACGGCCCACCAAGGCGACGAUUGGUAGCCGGACUGAGAGGUUGAACGGCCACAUUGGGACUGAGACACGGCCCAGACUCAUACGGGAGGCAGCAGUGGGGGAUAUUACACAAUGGGGGAAACCCUGAUGCAGCGACGCCGCGUGGAGGAAGAAGGUUUUCGGAUUGUAAACUCCUGUCGUUAGGGACGAUAAUGACGGUACCUAACAAGAAAGCACCGGCUAACUACGUG